GAUGAACGCUGGCGGCGUGCCUAAUACAUGCAAGUCGAGCGAACGGACGAGAAGCUUGUUUCUCUGAUGUUAGCGGCGGACGGGUGAGUAACACGUGGAUAACCUACCUAUAAGACUGGGAUAACUUCGGGAAACCGGAGCUAAUACCGGAUGAUAUUUUGAACCGCAUGGUUCAAAAGUGAAAGACGGUCUUGCUGUCACUUAUAGAUGGAUCCGCGCUGCAUUAGCUAGUUGGUAAGGUAACGGCUUACCAAGGCAACGAUGCAUAGCCGACCUGAGAGGGUGAUCGGCCACACUGGAACUGAGACACGGUCCAGACUCCUACGGGAGGCAGCAGUAGGGAAUCUUCCGCAAUGGGCGAAAGCCUGACGGAGCAACGCCGCGUGAGUGAUGAAGGUCUUCGGAUCGUAAAACUCUGUUAUUAGGGAAGAACAUAUGUGUAAGUAACUGUGCACAUCUUGACGGUACCUAAUCAGAUAGCCACGGCUAACUACGUG
rnacentral:rRNA from 1 species